rnacentral:rRNA from 1 species
AACGAACGCUGGCGGCAGGCUUAACACAUGCAAGUCGAGCGCCCCGCAAGGGGAGCGGCAGACGGGUGAGUAACGCGUGGGAAUCUACCGUACCCUACGGAAUAGCUCCGGGAAACUGGAAUUAAUACCGUAUACGCCCUACGGGGGAAAGAUUUAUCGGGGUAUGAUGAGCCCGCGUUGGAUUAGCUAGUUGGUGGGGUAAAGGCCUACCAAGGCGACGAUCCAUAGCUGGUCUGAGAGGAUGAUCAGCCACAUUGGGACUGAGACACGGCCCAAACUCCUACGGGAGGCAGCAGUGGGGAAUAUUGGACAAUGGGCGCAAGCCUGAUCCAGCCAUGCCGCGUGAGUGAUGAAGGUCUUAGGGUUGUAAAGCUCUUUCACCGAUGAAGAUAAUGACGGUAGUCGGAGAAGAAGCCCCGGCUAACUUCGUGCCAGCAGCCGCAGUAA